AUUUUGGAGGAGAGGGGCGUGGGGAUACAAUGGGGACAAAUGGGGACACGCGGGGGUGGUGAUGGGGACACAUCAAUGGUGGCCGUGGGGACAAAGGGACCAUCCCGGGUCACUGCAGCUUUGGUGGCCCCCCAUGGGGACACCAGGACCCUCUUAUAUGGCCAUGAUGGCUUUGGGGACACCAGGACCCCCUUACAUAGCCGUGGUGGCCUUGAGGACACCAGGACCCCCCCAUGGGGACACCAGGACCCCCUUAUACGGCUGUGGUGGCUUUGAGGACACCAGGACCCCCCCAGGGGACACCAGGACCCCUUUAUAUGGCCGUGGUGGCCUUGAG
ensembl:lncRNA